GAGCCUAAUCUGCAUAAAAUGAACUUUUCCACCCAGGGGAACCUAUAACAUCUCUCUAUUCUCUUGUGCAAUAUGAAGUUUCAUUUCUACCUGGGAGAAAUGUUUCAAUCUGUGCAUUCUCCUUUGCCUAAGGAAGGGUAUAUGAGCCCAAAAGCUUGAAAGUAAAGACAUUUUUUUGCAACUAUUUAGUUGGUCUAAUGAAAGAUAUCCCCCCUGUAUCAGAUAUCUCAGAAUUCUGAAUACCUGUAGACCAACAAUGGCUAAAACCUGUAAGCCUGGAAAAAAUGUGUGUGUGAAAUUCUUGGGGUUGUUCUUGGGGUUUUUGAGGCCCAGUUCAUACCCCAUGUACACCCCUGUGUUCAGAUCACCUGCCUGUGUGGGAGAAUAUCAGGCACAUUUAUGUAUUUCUUUGGAAGUGGGAGCCAUUCACUUUGUCCCUCAUUGAUUUAAUUGCAUGAGGGGAGACAUAGCCGGGAAGUUCACAGGAUUGAGGUGUUAUUACAGCCUCGCGCUAUGAUAUGGUGAUACCACCUUCUGCAACCCCCCUGGUCCCAUGUUCAUUCUCUGUGUUAUAAUGAAAAGGUCUUUUCUCCCCUUAACUACCACUUUUGUGGGCAAGUUUGAAGAACAGUUUUAUGUGAGCCAGAAAUCAGCCUCUGGAAGGAAACAUGCCAUGGAAACACAGGUCAAGUGACAUGAAGUUCUUCCACGUGGACAUACAGAGGCAAAAGCAAAGGCAAGUGUAUGAAAUUCAUGGUGUUGUGCUAGGGGCUUCUGAGCCGAGCCCAGGCUUCAUGCACACCCAGUUCUUCAGAGACCCUGGCCAGGGAGAUAAUCCCAGCACAAGAGCCCAGCCUUCAUCCUGCUCCUCUGUUUGUCAUCAUCGCUAUCAUGGUGCAAAAGUCUUUCUCCUCUUAUUUCCACUUUUAGAUUGGCUCUUACCUGGAGGAAUGAAGGGGUAAGUAGCAACAACAAUAUUGUGACUAGGUUUGAAGACCCACAUUCUUUGAGACAAACAAUUGCUCCCUCUCACAAGACUCCUUGCCCCUGGAAGGAAACGUGCUGUGGAGACAGCUCAGACAGUAGGAAGAUAAGAGUCUGGGUCACGUAUUUAUGGAAAGUGGCAGGUAGCAGGGGCAGAAAUGCAUGGAGGCAGGAACUUGUGAUUCACCAUUUGUUCAUCAUCAGAGAGAGGAGAGAAAGGUGUGUGUCCUUGAGAAGCAGGUGGAUGGCAAACCAUGGAGACACUUGGCUCCCAGGGGCGGGGUCUCCACAACUUCUGCAGACCUACUACCCUGCCCUGACACCACAAAGGAAAGUAAAGGCAGCAAGGUCCCGACUGGCAGUGUAGGUAUGAGAAGCAUUGGCAGAGCUACAGAGCAGGGGGUUCAUGGUAGGUUCCCACCCCAGGGUAUCAGACCACAGCCAAUUCCUUGUCUGCACCUGUCAGCUGGACAGGUGCCCUAGAGAGAACCAAGGGAAGGAGAAUUAGGGAGAGUAAAACUUGGAGGAAACAUAAAAUCUUUACAGAGAAUUAAGAGUAUGUGAUCCCUAUGCCUUGGUAAGUAGUGACUGCCUUUUGGGGGAUACUGAUGACUGAUCCUCUCUCAAUGUGACAGAAAAGCAUUUGCCUGACUCAUUGUGAGUAUUAUUCUACUCUUUCUUAUCUAGUGAAUACAGUCUGCUCCAUGCUGCUUGCUGAGUUAAUUUUAAUAUGAACUCCCUUAAUCUCAAGGUGGCAUUUUUGAGAGUCUCUUGGGAGCAUGGCAUUUCCAAGCUUGUUAAAGACUUCCUGGGUUUUUUGGAUAACAACAUUGUCCUUGAAAGGAUCAUCGCAGUGGAGCUGUGCUCACUACAUUGACAUCAUGGUAAUAGAGCUCCUUGGCCUCAGAAAUAUUUGAAGAAAGAAGAUUGAAGAAAGAGUGGAUCUGUAUGAGGCUCUAAAAGAACAGAGUCCAAGAAACUGCAGACGAGACUCCCGGACAUUGUGAGGGCAGCUCCUUCCCUGAGCAGCAUGGUUAUGGACUGGCUUUUUUCUCUGCUCCUCACACUGGUCACAGGGAAGUCACUCUGCCCAAGAAGCAACUUUUGAAGAACCUUCUUCCAGAUCUAUUCCCUGCCCCAGGGGCUCCCUCCUGCCUGGGUCAAUAGCAAAAGGCAGGAGUGGGAACAAGGACUUUUUAAAUUGUUCAACGUAUAUUCAUAUGAAUUUCUAAAAAAAAAAAAUUCUUUCUCCUUUCAUUACAAAAUUUUGACUAAUUUUUUAGUUUUGUCUAAUCCUUGGGUACAGAGAAAAAAUCCCCUUGUUUUCUUCAUUCUCUAAUGAUAAAAUCUCUAAGAUACCUUCCUUUCUCUUGCUAAUUAUUGAAUAUUUGUGAAAAAUCCCUUCAGAUUUCAACCCUUCAUGCAAUGCACCAGUUAUUACUAUUAAAUCUCAUAUUUUACCAUGUUCUGUUUAGCUGCCAACGGUUAUAAUAAAAAUAA